CUGAGGGGAAUCUUGGGCUAGCAGUUUCAGACUGAGUGAGGGACCCUCAGGAGAAUGACACCCUAGUUGGGUGGUACUGAGUAUAUACUAAGGACUCUCUGUGUUUUAGGGGAGUCUCCCCUACUGUAUCAGACUCUUCCCAAAAAAGAACCACAGGGGGGAGGAACCAUCCUUUAGUAUCCACUGUAAGCAGCCCCUUCUCUUACACCCCAGCCUCUAGCUAGGAGUCCUUUCCCAAGCUUGAUCAUAUCCAGUCAAUGCAGUUUGAACCCUCCCAUUUUCUUUGUAGCUAUUAUGAUGACAAUCAUCUUUCCCGUCCCUGGAUUCCCCAAAGGGUCUAGAGGUUCCCCAGAUUCCUUUGUUCCCUGGAGUCCAUCUAGUCAGUGACCAGAGCAGCCAGAGUUCAAUCCUCAGACUGUGCAGCUCUGUGUCGAGGCCUCCUAGCCCUGAACCCCUUUUUGCCCUUGAUUAGAGAGUGAUUUUGACUAUCUAAUAGUUCUGGUUUUUUCCCAGUCGGCAUUUUUGGAGGUCCCACCGAGAUCCAAAGGCCCAGCUGCCUAUUCCCCCUGCUCACGAGGACCCAAAACUUGAGGUAUCCCCACAAUGGGCGUUUGGGGCGGAGUCAGGUGUCCGGUCAGCAGAAGGGCAGCUGCAAGGAAGUGGUCUAGUACAGAGGAGGAGUCUGCAGGAGCACAGGAGGCUGAAGGCAUCAUAUCAGGACCCACCAGAUGUGAAAGACGAAAGACUUUGGGAAAAUGGGGUCGUGUUUUGAUUGUUAGUUCUUGGCAAAGGCAGACUGCCUGCCUUUGUGGCUCAAAUGCCCCCAAAUGCUAAUUACCUGUACACGUACCUGUACCCCAAGGCUUUCCCGCCAUUAGUGAUGAAGUCCAAUCCCAUAUAGCAUUUCUCAUUUGUCUUGACCAAAAGGGGGUUGUGUCAACAUGGAAUCUAGGAACCCCAAACUUGUGGCCUAGUGGGAUCUGGUGAAUCCCAAGUUUCAGGACUAGCUUAUAAGUUGGAGACCCUAAAAUUUGUCCUUGUUUCCUGUUCCCAUGGGAAUUUACCCUGAGGAGAAUCACAAGCUGGUAGUUUCAGAUUUAGUGGGAGACCCUCAGGAGAAUGACAAUCCUAGUUGGGUGGUACUGAGUAUAUACUAAGGACUCUCUGUGUUUUAGGGAGUCUCCCCUACUGUAUCAGACUCUUCCCCAAAAAGAACCACAGGAGAAAGGGGGGAACCAUCCUUUAGUAUCCACUGUAAGCAGCCCCUUCUCUUACACCCCAGCCUCUAGCUAGGAGUCCUUUCCCAAGCUUGAUCAUAUCCAGUCAAUGCAGUUUGAACCCUCCCAUUUUCUUUGUAGCUAUUAUGAUGACAAUCAUCUUUCCCUGCCCCUGGAUUACCCAAAUGAUAUAGAGGUUCCCCAAAUUCUUUUGUUCCUUUGAGUCCAUCUAGCGCUGUAGCACUCCCAGGCGUCAGUGACCAGAGCGACCAGAGUUCAAUCCUCGGACUCUGAGCAGUCAUGUGUGGCCCGCAGCUCUGUCAAGGCCUACUAGCGCUGAACCCCUUUUUGCUCUUGAUUAAGAAAUGAUUUUGACUAUUUAAUCUGUGUUUUUUCCCAGUCAGCACAUCUCAGAAGCAAUACGUGCAUUGGUUCCAAGGCAGAAGAGCAGUAAGGGCUAGGCAAUAGGGGUUAAGUUACUUAUCCAGGGUAACACAGUGAGAAAGUGUCUGAGAUUAGAUUUGGACCCAGGACCUCUAGGUUUGGUUCUCAAUCCACUGAGCCACCUAACUGCUCAUAGCACUCUUAUAUUUAAGUGCAUAAAAUUAAAUGUAUAGGAUUAUGAAAAUAACCCAUUAUAUUGAAAUUGUUACCAUUUACUUUUUAAUGUUCAUGGACCCCAGAUUGAGAACCCUGAA